rnacentral:tRNA from 1 species
GUGCCUGUAGCUCAGUCUGGAUAGCGCAACGGCCUACGAAGCCGUGUGUCGCAAGUUCAAAUCUUGCCAGGCACGCCA